UACGUAGGGGGGCUAGCGUUGUCCGGAAUCAUUGGGCGUAAAGAGCUCGUAGGCGGUUUGUUGCGUCGGCUGUGAAAACCCGGGGGCUCAACUCCGGGCCUGCAGCCGAUACGGGCAGACUAGAGUUCGGCAGGGGAGACUGGAAUUCCUGGUGUAGCGGUGAAAUGCGCAGAUAUCAGGAGGAACACCGGUGGCGAAGGCGGGUCUCUGGGCCGAUACUGACGCUGAGGAGCGAAAGCGUGGGGAGCGAACAGG
rnacentral:rRNA from 1 species